GGAAAAAUCUACAAAGAACUUGAAAAGUGCUACUUUAGUAAACACUUCAGAAGUUUCAGAAGUAAAUUCCCUCUAUUUCCUGCAGGAUUUCCAUUGUACACUUUAGCUUUGAAGAAAAACAAAUCUUUCAUGUCUUAGAAUAUUCGAUGUAUAUGUUAUCUACUGAGUGAUCUUCUUCUUGGGAAGAAGUCACUAAAGAGAAUGUUUUUCUCAGGUUCACCUCUCCCUUGGCAAAGUUCAUACCAGCAAAGUGAAAUCGAAGUCUGAAGAAACAGCCUGUGCAGAAAGAAAAUGCUCAGCUUAAGAUCCAUAAGAAUCAGAUAAAAAAAAAUUUACUGUCAAAUGUUAUGUAAUCAGAAAUGAACAUCAUUACUUCCUUUUUGAGUUUCUCUUCUUUAACUGUGGUAAAAUACAUGCAUUAGAAAGUUUCCCAGCAUAAACAUUUAAGUGUACAUUUUAGUAGUGCUAAGUACAUUCACGUCCUUCUAUAGUCAUUCCACCUUUCUCAAAUCUGUCUUAAAGUCAGGAGAUACGAGUACAACGCAUCAAGGAUUCGAUGCAGGGAAUCUUGACGUCUCGUAAAUGUAACCUGGAAGAGGUGUUGCUUGGAAGAAAACCUCACUUGGUAGAAUGAGUUUGGUCUGGGAAAGUAAAAAGUGGCUUCCUGCCUUGGGAAACCUGUCCUUUCUCCUCUCCCUGCUCCUGGGCUGACUCGUGGGAACAGGUGCGCACAUUCAAGUAAACUGUUUUAUGCUUGACAGCAAAAAGGAACUGGGGGACAACUGUGAUGCACUUAGGUGUGAGAAAGGGCCAAAGGACACCAGAUGGGACACGCUGAAGAAGAAUGUAGACGUUCGUGAUGGAAUGUGUGGACAAAGAAGCUCACAGAAGCUCACAGAAGAGAAGCUGGGACUGAAAGAAUGGGAGCAGGUGGAAGGGGAGAAGCAGCUGUCAGUUACAGAGGAGAAAGUGAAAUUAGCUGCAGAAGAGCUACGGAACUACAAGGUGCUGUGAGGUUUUUAAAAAGACUAAACUGUUCGGUGUCCACUGGAGACCUGGGUGUGGUAACUCUUAGUGAAAACUGAUUCAUCUUGAUCUUCAAGACUGGAAGUCAUCCAAAGACAGAGGCUUCCAGAGGAAUUCAGGAGGCACAAACCAAUGGCAAGAGGACCUGACAGGGAGAUCCUUCCAUGGAGAGGAGAAUUUGAAGUUUGAAGAGAACCCUGCACUGUGACAAAUGGGCUGUGGUGACGUAAUAUAUUUAGAAAAGUUGCUUGAUAUUUGUAUUUGACUGAAUUAUUUCCCUGAUCAAUCCUGUCCCUUCUAUUUUGUCUUUCCUCAUUUCCCCUGAUAAACCCAUCACAGUUCUGUCUCUGUGUCAGUAUCUGCUUCCAGGAGGAUGUACGGUCAUUCUGUUUUGCUGUACAGAGUGUGACUCCUGUAUACACAGUCACUAACAGGUAGAAUCUACAGUAAUAGGAGCAGAAGAUAAGUCACUCUUUGAAUUGUAUUGACCGUGCAUUCCCCCUGGUUCCUUCUGGGGUGGUGGACACAACUUUCCUCUAGAUCUGGUGAUGGUGGUGUUCACUCCUCAAUAGGUACUCACAAGCACACGGUGCCUGCUAGUCACAGUGGUGUGUGGUGAUCAGUAGGGCAGCUAUCAGUCCCCAGGAAGUGGCUGAUUCCUGAUUGCAAGAAAUGGAUGAGGGGUCAGCAGUGUGUCUGGUAGAACAUUGAGGAAACCCUGCAUUAAUCCAGAUGUUGUGGACUUUUCCCACCUACCAGCUACCUCACAGUAGCACCAAUCCAGGUGGGAGCUGAGGUAGACUCAUGGUAGUAGUUUUGGGGGUGAGUCUUAUAGUGUCCCAUAUUCCUCCCACUGUUUUCUGUUUUUAUCUUGUAUUUCUUUGCCAUGUUUAUUUUUGAGUGAGAGAGAGACAGAGCACAAUUGAGAGAGGGGCAGAGAGAGAGGGAGACACAGAAUCCAGAGCAGGCUCCAGGCUCUGAGCUGUCAGCACAGAACCUAAUGGGGGGCUCAAACUCACAAAUCCUGAGAUCAUGACCUGAGCCAAAGUUGGACGCUCAACCGACUGAGCCACCAAGUUGCCCCUCCCCCCACUGUUUCCUUAUUGAGGGACGGGCAGGGCAGACAUCAAUGACAUGAUACCCGUUCCUCCCUCACCACCAAGAAGGAGUUGGGUGUAAGCAUCUGACUCUUUCCAGGUCCUCAAAUCCCAAGCAUUCUGCUCCAGAGCCCCUGACUCCUGCUGGGCCCUCCUUCCUCCCAGGUUAUGGAGGCAACCAGCCUUCCAUCCACUUUGGGAUCAUGGCUGGGCCACCAAGGGCUCAAGGUCUGGCUGUCCACAUGCUUCCCAGGAGGGGCUGGGAACAGCAGUGCUUCAGUAAAGGUCAGCAUGAGCAGCUUCUCUAAACAGGAUUCUCAUCCACUAUGAUUAGGGCCUGGGCUAAAAUAUGACAGGGGAGAGGGGGACACAGGAGACGUGGUGCCCUGUUUCUUGGACAGGGCUGCACAGAGCAGAAGGCUGAGGGCUGCUAAUCUCUGCAUUCUGGAUGGUAGGUGAGCAGUUUAAAACACCACAGCCUUCUCUUACAUCAAAAGAGAAACCUAUAACUUCACCCAGGCUUCCUCUGAUUUGAAGACAUGACAGUUAUUAUUUGAAGGCUCAAUUGUCUACCUAUGAGUCUUAGGGAAAUUAUUUCAUCCAUCUUCAUCCCUAAAGCACUUUUCAUUGAAAGUAUUACCCAUACACAGGCAGGAAAUUUAUAACAGAUGUGUAGCUCCCUCUAGAUGUGCAUUCUG